rnacentral:rRNA from 1 species
AUUGAACGCUGGCGGCAGGCCUAACACAUGCAAGUCGAACGGUAGCACAGAGAGCUUGCUCUCGGGUGACGAGUGGCGGACGGGUGAGUAAUGUCUGGGAAACUGCCCGAUGGAGGGGGAUAACUACUGGAAACGGUAGCUAAUACCGCAUAACGUCGCAAGACCAAAGUGGGGGACCUUCGGGCCUCACACCAUCGGAUGUGCCCAUAUGGGAUUAGCUAGUAGGUUGGGUAAUGGCUCACCUAGGCGACGAUCCCUAGCUGGUCUGAGAGGAUGACGAGCCACACUGGAACUGAGACACGAUCCAGGCUCAUACGGGAGGCAGCAGUGGGGAAUAUUGCACAAUGGGCGCAAGCCUGAUGCAGCCAUGCCGCGGGUAUGAAGAAGGCCUUCGGGUUGUAAAGUACUUUCAGCGGGGAGGAAGGCGGUGAAGUUAAUAGCUUCACCGAUUGACGUUACCCGCAGAAGAAGCACCGGCUAACUCCGUGCCAGCCGCCGCCGUAA